rnacentral:rRNA from 1 species
AUUGAACGCUGGCGGCAUGCCUUACACAUGCAAGUCGAACGGCAGCACGGGAGCUUGCUCCUGGUGGCGAGUGGCGAACGGGUGAGUAAUACAUCGGAACGUACCCAGUAGUGGGGGAUAACGCACCGAAAGGUGCGCUAAUACCGCAUACGACCUAAGGGUGAAAGCGGGGGACCGCAAGGCCUCGCGCUAUUGGAGCGGCCGAUGUCUGAUUAGCUAGUUGGCGGGGUAAAGGCCCACCAAGGCGACGAUCAGUAGCUGGUCUGAGAGGACGAUCAGCCACACUGGGACUGAGACACGGCCCAGACUCCUACGGGAGGCAGCAGUGGGGAAUUUUGGACAAUGGGGGCAACCCUGAUCCAGCAAUGCCGCGUGUGCGAAGAAGGCCUUCAGGUUGUAAAGCACUUUUGUCAGGGAAGAAAUCUUUCAGGCUAAUACCCUUGGAAGGAUGACGGUACCUGAAGAAUAAGCACCGGCUAACUACGUGCCAGCAGCCGCCGUAA